UACGUAGGGUGCAGGCGUUAAUCGGAAUUACUGGGCGUAAAGCGUGCGCAGGCGGUUUCUUAAGUCAGAUGUGAAAGCCCCGGGCUUAACCUGGGAACUGCGUUUGAAACUGGGAGACUUGAGUGUGGCAGAGGGGGGUGGAAUUCCACGUGUAGCAGUGAAAUGCGUAGAGAUGUGGAGGAACACCGAUGGCGAAGGCAGCCCCCUGGGCUAACACUGACGCUCAUGCACGAAAGCGUGGGGAGCAAACAGG
rnacentral:rRNA from 1 species